UAGGGAUUCUGGGUGCAUGCUGUCAAUUUUGGUUCAGCAGAGGUAGCUGUGGAUUAGAAAUGCAUGUUAUCUGACAGCUCUGUAUUGCAGUACCCUAACCUCUAAUCAAUAGGCAGCAAACACACCAUUCCAGCAUGAUUUCCAUGGAAACCAGAAGUCUCUUCCUAUUGGAGGGCUCACAGGAGCUACACAGUCCUACUAGGUGCAUGUCCCAUUUUAAUAUUGAUGACUUUGCACUAUUUGUGCUGGUGAUUUUGGUGAUUCCACAGCUGGCAAUGGAGCAUGCACUGGAAAAAUCUAGCAAGCAGCAUGGAAGGAUUCCUUGGAGCUGUUAAGGGCUGACAACUUUACCAGCCCCUCCACUUACGUCAUCGCUUCAGUGUGUGUGAGUAUGAGGCAAGCACUAGAUCGGACAAGGCCUCCAUAGCACAGAGCUGCAGAUGAGCAUCAGACCCUGAAUAAAUAAGCAGGCCUGCUGGAUGCUGUUUGCUCUGGGAAUGAGAACCGGAGACCCUGCUGAGUGAUGACAGAGCCGGUCAGUGCAUUGAGGAUCUGCAGCUGAGAACACAGACCCUGAUAUUCUGCAGUUCAUUUAGCAGUCUUUGUAUGAUGGGAAGGAGCGGGAGCUCAAACCGUGGAUUUUCAGUCUGCAAAACCUUUGACAGUCACAAUGAGGAUGAUGCGAGGUAACCCUUUCCUAGCAGAGAGACUCGUCCAUUUCCUUUUAUCCCAGCAGUGAAGAAAUGCAGCCCAAGAUGUUCCUGGGAUUCUCUCCGGUGCUCAGGCUGUGAUGCCUUCAGGGUUUUUAUCCUGUCCUCUGGAGCUCUGUGGCUGCAGAAAAUUCCUAGCCAUAGACAGGGUGGGAUCAGUGUUUGAGAGAAGCACAUUGCCCCACAGAAAGACAUGGAGAAGCAGGAAGAAAUGAAGCCACAUGCUGACUUAAUACAGCUGUCACCAUGUCAGGGCUGUCCGGCAUGGCACAGCAGCAUAGUCCCUGAAGCUCUUGUAUGUCAGGACUCAGCCUUGGUGACAGAUAUGCAAGAAGGUCGAGCCCCUUUGGUGGAUACUGGCAACGGGGUAGUUCUUGAACUGACGCCUGGGGUGCCAGAGCCUGGUCUAGAGGAAGUCAGAAACCAGUCAGUCCUGAUGCAAUCCCAGGAAACCUCCCUGUGGGCCCCAGGCCAAUGGGAGGUGCCAAUGCAACCUCUGGAGAGCAUUAGGUCUCAGUGUGCAAUGGAGGGGCUCAGACACUACCAGACAGAUGGAUCCUCCAAGUGUUGUGCUGAUUACAGCUACCUGGUGAAGCAGAACAGGAAGCUCCUGCGGGCGCUGGAGGAGUUACAGCACUGCUGCACCAGCCUGAAGGAGGAAAACUGCCUGCUGCGGAAGAGCUACUUUCCCGAGACUGAGGAGAAGGUGAAGCACUUGAAGAGAAAGAAUGCGGAGCUGGCCCUGAUCGCAAAGCGCCUGGAGGAAAGAGCAAGAAAACUGCAGGAAGCAAACCUCAAAGUAAAUGCUCCAGUGGCUAUGAAGGGCUCCAGCCUGGAGCUGUGUAAAAAAGCAUGUGCCCACCAGCGUGCCAAGGACCUGACAGAACAGGCCAGUGCCCUCCUAGCAAAAGAUAAACAGAUUGAAGCUUUGCAGCAUGAGUGUCAGGAGCUACAGGCGAAGCUCACAGCUGGGAAGGAGGGCCCUCAUUGCCUGAACCUCCUAGACUUUGACCACCUGUUGCGGGAAUCUCAGAAGGAAGUGUUACGGUUACAGAGACAGAUUGCACUGAAGAAUUUCAAGGAGUCUCUCCAGUCCUCUAAAACUGGUUCAAAAAGCUCUUCAUCAAUUGCUGCCAAUUGCUUGGGACCAUCUGUGCCAACUCUAGAUACCAGCAUAAAUUAUUCAUCUCUAUCAAAGGGGGUGCAAUUAGGAGAGCCAACACUAGCAAUGGAAGCACAUAGGAAGGUGGAGCCAGGAGUGCUACCUUUGGGACAUGCCUCGGAGGAGUAUGAAAACUUUCCUCCAAAAAGUGUGGUAGCAGACCCAGAGAGCAGUCAGCAAACGCAGCAAUUGGAAUUUGAGCUCAGGAAAAAACGUAAAAAAUGUGAAAACCUUGAACAUGAAGUGAGGAAAAAGCACAAAAGAUGCAAAGAAUUGGAAAUCCAGCUGCAGGUGGUGCAGGGUGAAAAUGCACGACUGGCUCAGGAGAACACUCAACUGAAUGGGAAGGCUGAAUGGGCGCAACAGGUGGAAUCUGAAAAUGCUGACCUGAAGUUACAGGUUGUUUUAGUUACUAAGGAACGGGAUUCUGCUCUUCAGAAGAGCCAAGGACUCCAAACCAAGCUGGAGAAUCUAGAGCACGUGCUGAAGCAUAUGAGAGAUGUGGCUGAGCGAAGGCAGCAGCUGGAGGCUGAACACGAGGAAGCCCAGCUAGCACUGCAGGAGAAACAAGAGGAAGUCAGAUGGUUGCAGCAGGCCCAGGCAGAGGCAAAAAGGGAACAUGAAGGAGCAGUACAGCUACUAGAGGCCCAGGUGAGAGAUCUGGAGGAUCAGUGCCGCAGCCACAUCGAACAGUUCAGCCUCCUGUCUCAGGAACUCAAACGAUUCCAUCUACAGACAGGAAAGACUGGCCCUCUGACCUCAACAUUGGUGGCUUCUGAGCUCCCGCUCAUGGCCUGCUGUUCCAUCCCUCAGUCCCAGUGCCGCCAAUGGGAGAAGGAUCCAGAUGUUGCCCCUGCACGUCCUGCUCUUCAGUGCACUAAGAAGAUUCAUGAUGAAGGGAGUAAAGAGCUGGAAUCAUUACCUCAGAUCCCUGAUCCCAUGUCUAGUGUCACCAAAAUUCCAGUCUCAGGUGCUGCUGCCACAUCUCAGAAGCAAGUCAAGAGACUGGAGUCCCAGUCAAGCUCUUCAAAAUCAGAAUCCAUGCAGAACAGUCCCAAGUCCUGCCCCACUCCAGAGGUGGACACUGCAAGUGAAAUGGAAGAACUGGAUGUUGAUAGCGUCUCUUUGAUUCCAGAAUCAGAGAGCCAGGGCCCUGCAAAACUCCAAGUCUUCCUAGCUCGUUACAGCUAUAAUCCCUUCAAUGGUCCCAAUGAGAACCCGGAGUCAGAGCUCCCACUGACUGCUGGAGAGUAUAUUUACAUCUAUGGGGACAUGGACGAGGAUGGCUUCUUUGAAGGGGAACUAAUGGAUGGCAGGAGAGGGCUGGUCCCCUCCAAUUUUGUUGAACGAGUUUCAGAUGAUGACCUCAUGACCUUUCUGCCUCCAGAGGUAAAUGAUCUCACCCAGAGCUCGUACCACGAGAGGAGCUUUGUCGGUGCAAGCACUAGCAGUGGAGAGAGAAGUGAUCACUCUGCUGACGAGGCCAGUGUCAGUCCAUUGCCUAGUAGACCAGAAGACCAGGAGGAGCCUGUCAAUCACACAGCAGUGCCUUAUCCGAGAAAGCUGACUGUGAUCAAACAGCUCACCAGCGGCAUAGUUGUAGGCUGGGAGCCACCACUUUUGCCAGCUGGCAGUACAGACAUACAGAGCUAUAACGUCUAUGUGGAUGCAGAGUUAUGCCAGAAUGUGAAGAGUGGCUCUCAAACGAAAGCUGUGAUCGAGAAGCUGGACUUGGAGCUGAAAGCCUAUCGCAUCUCUGUGCAAAGUGUGACAGAGCAAGGAAACUCCGAUAAGCUGCGGUGUACUUUCUGUGUAGGGCAAGAUUUCUGCAUAGCACCAAUGCUGCUGAAAAUCAGAAGCAUGACAGCGACCUCAGCAGAGGUUACCUGGCUACCAUGCAACAGCAACUACGUUCAUGCAGUGUACCUCAAUGAGGAAGAGUGUGAUACCACAAAGCCAGGUGUCUACUGGUACACGUUCCACAGCCUGCGCCCUAACACUCAGUACGUUGCCAAGGUGGAGGCCCGGCCCCCCAGGGUGCUCUGGGAGUUGCCCCAGGAGAGGCGUGAGCAGAAAUCAGCAGCGAUACACUUCACUACUCCCUUAGCAGGAACUCCUGAUGCACCACUUGAUGUCCAAGCAGAGCCUGGCCCCUCAGCAGGCAUUCUGGUUAUCAGCUGGCUACCUGUCACCAUUGAUGCAGAAGGCUCAUCGAAUGGGGUCCGAGUUACCGGCUAUGCUGUGUAUGCCGAUGGACAGAAGGUGAUGGAAGUUGCAUCUCCAACUGCAGGCAGUGUCCUCGUGGAGCUGUCCCAGCUGCAGAUGUUCCAGGUGUGCCGGGAGGUCUCUGUGAGAACUAUGUCUCUGUAUGGAGAAUCCGCUGAUUCAGUGCCAGCCCAAAUCCCCUCAGCCUUGCUGAAAGCUUCUAGACAUUCCUCACUAUCACAGGCUGUUGUUUCUACCAGUCUUCCUUCCAGACUGAUCUGUGGGGAACCCAAGGGCUCUCAUCCCAAGCGAAUGCCAGUUACACACUGCACAGCUCCGCUCUUCCCUCCACAGAAAUGUUCCACUGACAGUUCAGAUGGCAAAUUCACUGUCCACACCGCUCCCAGCAGUGACAGCUCAGUGAAUUGUCUGCCAGGGAAGAUCUCCCCACACCUGCACCUCUUCUCUCCCCGGGUUUCCUCGGUUCAAGCGUUGGGCACAUCAUCCCCAGUUUCAGACACUGUAAGAGAUGAGCAGUGUCUGACUUCCCUUCCGCAGCCUGCAGGAGUGGGUGAAGAACCCGAGCCAUCGGGGGCAGCAGCGUUGAAGGGCCCUGGUGAAGGCAUCCAGGCACAGGGGACGGAGGAGCUCUCUGUAAGCAACAGACCUGAGCUAAAAAGCAGUGACGUGAAGAUGCCCCUGGAGACCUGCCACGCGUGCUUUGUGGAGGAGCGGUUAAAAGAGUCAACCAUUCACAGAGAGAGGAAGGCAGAUGAGCAGUGCUUGAGUCCAGAGCCUCAGCUCUCCACCCACCAGGCUGAGCUGGGUGUGGACAGCUGCAGAGACUCAGACAGGACUGGAAGCUCUGUUCAGGAAUUCCUAAGAGUGUCCCCUGGAAAGAAACUGAUGAAAGAAACUUCCCGAGGAGACUCUUCUCUGAUGGUGCCCAAAGUCAAAAGAGAGCAGGAAGAGAAAAUAGCAGAAGCAGGAAAACGGCAGCUGAAUCUGCUUGCUGAGCACAGCCGCAGCUCUGACCUGUCAGAUAUUUUGGAGGAGGAGGAGGAGGACCUAUGUUCAGACAUGCAGGGAGAGAAGCAGUGGGACCCAAGGGCUUACUGCAGCGGAGAGAACGGGGGAAAGCUGGAGCCUUGCGACACCGAUAGCGAUGAGGAAAUUCUGGAGAGGCUUCUGGAGCUCCCACAUCAGCAGAACUGCAGCAAGAAGUUGUUUAGCAUUCCCGAAGUGACAGAGGAAGAGGAUGAAGAGGAGGAGGAAGAAAAGUGUGUACAUGUGGAGAAGAGAGAAUCUCCAGACUGCUCCCUGGAGAGACAUCCAUACCAUACAGAAAGGAAGGGGACACCCCAUCCCAUAAGUGCCCCUCAGGCAUUUCCAAACACAGAUGGUAAUGACACCUACCAAAAUCUUCCCAAGCAGGCUCCCCAAGAGGCUCUUAUCCUUCAGAAGACCAGAGAAGACUCUGACGAUGAGAAUCCUGCCUAUCUGGAGCUGAGCUGGACUCAGAAGAGGGGUAGCUGUAAUUGGAGUUACCAGGAGAGUAGAAUGAAGCCCACUGCAGGCACAAGCCCCCAGUGGGGCAGAAAGAAAGGAGAUAAUUCUCAAGAAAGGGUCCAUGAUCUGCCUGAGGUGAGCAGGAAGAAACGGAGUGAUGUCAAAGAGCAUUGUAGUCGCCUGCUGAACACCUGCAGCCUGACAGGCGGCAGCUUGUACAGAGCCCAUAGCCUCAAGGAGAAGCUGAACGUCGUAAGCAGUGCUAGUGGCAAGGGUAGGUCAGAAAUCUGUGGUCAUGCAAGACCAGGCACCUUUAGAAAAUCCCACAGAAAGUUAAUGCCGUCAGACUUAGCAGAGCCCGCUGCAUUGACAGCCCACUGCUUCAACACAAGGAGCCUCGAGAUCAAUAUUGAAUAUGACUCCGAGGAAGAUCAGGAUCUGACCUUCCCUUCCAGCCCCGGGAGCAGUGAAUGGCCAGAUGGCAGUGUGGAGGGGUCCCAGACUGGCUGUGAAGGGUGGAGUGAUUGCUCCAGUCAGUCUGAGUCUGCCCACUCUGAUGGGAGAACCCCGCUGAAGAAGCAAGAGUUUGGGGAAGAGGAGGGAAUGGAGUGGGCUGGGUCUCCACGCCACCACCCACAGUUACCUUGCCCAGAGAAGGAGGCACUGAGGAGUGAAGGCAGCUCAGAGGAGCAAGGCUGGGAACAAGAGGAUAGUCCAGCUGGCUGGAGGAAGAUGCCGGAGCGCCCUUGGAAGGGGAUACAUGGUGCUGCGUUGCACGCAAGGGUCUGGGCUUCUGAUAAUGAAGAUCUGAGGUUACAGGAGUUACUUGGCUCACCAGCUUGGCAGACUCAAAAGACCCAAAAAGGGAACAAGACCUUGAGAAGAAACCGAAUCUUGAAAUCUUCCAUCUCCAGUUCAGGCACAGCUUCAGACAACUCAGUCAGGAUAUUUGUGGCCCUUUUUGACUAUGACCCCAUUUCUAUGUCACCUAACCCUGAUGCGGCUGAAGAAGAGCUCCCAUUUAAGGAGGGGCAGAUUCUGAAGGUGUGUGGCGACAAAGACGCUGAUGGGUUUUUCAGAGGUGAAUGUGCAGGAAGGGCAGGGUACAUCCCUUGUAACAUGGUGUCUGAAGUUCAGGUGGAGAGUGAGGAAGCGAGGAAGGAGCUGUUAAAGCAAGGUUACGUUCCUGCUGCCACAUCGGUGGAAAGCAUAGGAAAUGGUACAUUUGCUCCACCUCCACGCCGCCUCACCGUCCCUCCUCCGAAACCCAGACGUGCCAAGAAAGCAGAGCUGGAGAAACAGGAAGACUACAAGCUUCGUCCAGGGUCCAGCUGGCAGGUUGAUCUGAUCACACCUAGGACCAUGGUGGCUGCUUUUGACUACAACCCUAGGGAGAGCUCUCCAAAUGUGGAUGUGGAGGCUGAGCUGACAUUUACUGCUGGAGACGUUAUCACAGUGUUCGGGUCCAUGGACGAUGAUGGAUUCUAUUACGGGGAGUUAAACAGACAGAGAGGCCUUGUCCCAUCUAACUUCCUGGAAGCUGUCUCUCUGGAUGGAGGAAUGGCUGACGGGCUUCAUUUGGAAGACCAAGACACGUGUGCAGUGAAUGCCGAGAGUCAGAGAAUGAGGAAAAGAAGAGUCCAGUGAUAGAUAAGAAUGAUACAUAGAGAGAGAGCAACCAUAAUUGCCAGUUGACUCCAGGGAAAUGGAAGCAACUCCCCCUUGUUGUAUUACAGCAGCUCAGGAAAUCAGAAUUUAACCCUUCCAUUUUAUUCUGACCGCCACGCUCCAAAUAUACCUUCAGAGAGCCUUCUGCGUUUGAAAUGGACACUGACCAGAAGCAGUCCAUUGCAGAGCACGCUGCUUGUGGGAGCAUGGCUAGAUUUGGGAAAUCUCUGCUGUGGGGCCAGCAAAGCAGUGGAUUUAGGAGAUGUACCAGGAAUGACCCUGCAUGGCGGCAAAUAGUGAAGAAGCUGGCAAAUUUACUGGCCGGUGACCAGGGCAGGGAGCAGACUACACAGCUCAGGACUGAGUACAGGGAAACCAGGGACCAGAACGGCACCGUGGGCAACUCGCCGACAUCAUUUUAUGAGGCAUUUAACCGGGUGCUGGGCACUGCGCCGAGCAUGGAGCCAGCCUGGGGGCUGAUGGCAGCCAGUGGCAGGCAGCAAGUGAGGCCACCAAAGCUGACACUGGUCCCAGAGGAGGCUUUGGAGCAAAAGCUGCUGCAAUACAACCUGGGCUGUGCUCAGAGGAGCUUUUUGAUGCCACAGAAGGAACCACCGUGGCACCUGCAACUGAACCAGAAGAGGCAGAAGCCGUCCUGGAGCCUGGCACCACAAGAACUGUUCCGUCCUCCAAAAUGCGGAAUGCCAGAAAUGACAGGGAAACCUUGUGCAGUGUAUGGCCACCGACCUCCCCCGCUAACUCAAGUUAUUCUGCAAUUUUAAGGGGGGGAAAAAGCAGCUGUGAUUUUUAACUUACCGUUGUCUCUGGACAUCUUUGCUACAAUUAACCAGGCUGUGUUCAGGGAGCGUCUGUGGUCUGUAGCAUCCCUCUCACAAUAUACUGAAGUUCAGUUUGGAAAAGUAACUUUUUAUAUCCUUGAAAUUCCACAUGGAAUCUUCCUGUGCUCCUGCAUGUGAGCAGAAAACCCUCGGUGUCUGGUCCUCCGCCAGGCCCCUCGCCCCCUACUGGCUGCGGCACCUCCACAGCUCGCCCACAGUGCAGCAGAAGCCUGGACCAACGUAUCUCCAAAGACCGUUGCAAGAGGGAGUGUUUCCAUGAUGAACUGAUGGCUGAAGUUCUGGACAGGGCCCACCAGCAGGUCCAGCACCAAGGGCAGAGGGACUUGCGGCGAGAGGCCAGGGGAAAGGCUCAGGCUGCCUUUGAGGACAGGUUUGCAGCUUAGGAGCGGGCACUUUUCUUUGUAGUUCCUGGGGCGGCUAAGGGAGGAGGACAGAGCUCAGCAGAAAGAACUUUUUGAGUGGCUGCUGUUGCUAACAGGCUCCUGCUUCACCCCCGACACCAAGGCCUGAGUCUCCUCGGCGGUUCCCCGUGCAGCAGUCCAGAAACAGCUUGGACAACGCCAUGGGCUGGGUGGCCCAUGCAAUUGGGCCCAAUGAGCGGCAGGCCAGGGCAACUGUGGCACAUGCAGCCUCUCCCACUCCUCCCCCACACCAAGUUGCAGGGAGGAAUAGCUCAGUGGUUUCAGCAUUGGCCUGCUAAACCCAGGGUUGUGAGUUCAAUCCUUGAGGAGGCCAUCUAGGGGACUGGGGUAAAAAUCUGUCUGGGGAUUGGUCCUGCUUUGAGCAGGGGGUGGGACUAGAUGCCUUCUGAGGUCCCUUCCAACUCUGAGAUUCUAGGAUUCAAGUGUGCAGCGCAUGUGGAAGGAAGGGAAGGGGGUAUGGAGAGCCAGGGGGUAUGCAAUGGUCAGGGGUUUCUGUCCUGAACAUGGUUUCACCGUUUGCAUUUGUUCAUGCACUUUGUUCUCUUUUGUAAAGGUUUUGUUGUUGCUGGUGUUUAGAUAUGCUAAUGGCAGCUGGGCCAUGUUUAUAAGUAAAGCUUUUUAUUCAGAAAGUUUAUUGCUAUCACUGCAUCACAUCACACCGUGUGUAUUUCACAUUGUAAAGGUAACACGUGAUCAGGGACAAUUGCCAAACAUUCGUCGUCAGUACAGUUAGCUGCAUCAGUCACUUUACAUCAGUGGUUUUCAAACUUUUUUUCUGGGGACCCAGUUGAAGAAAAUUGUUGAUGCCCAUGACCCAG